rnacentral:rRNA from 1 species
GAUGAACGCUGGCGGCGUGCCUAAUACAUGCAAGUCGAGCGAACAGACGAGGAGCUUGCUCCUCUGACGUUAGCGGCGAACGGGUGAGUAACACGUGGAUAACCUACCUAUAAGACUGGGAUAACUUCGGGAAACCGGAGCUAAUACCGGAUAAUAUAUUGAACCGCAUGGUUCCAUCGUGAAAGAAGGUUUUGCUGUCACUUAUCGCUGGAUCACCGCCGCAUUAGGUAGUUGGUAAGGUAACGGAUUACCAAGGGAACGAAGCGUAGGCGACCUUAGAGAGUGAUCGGCCACACGAGAACGUAGACACGGUCCAUGCGACUGAGAGACGGAGCAGAAGCGAACCUGCCGCAAUGGUCGGAAGUAUUACGGAGCAACGGCGCGCGAGUUGUGAAAGCGCUGCGAGCGUAAAACUCGCUUAUGAGGGAAGAACAAAUGUGUAAGGAACAAAGCACGUCUUGACGGUACCUAAUCAGAAAGCAACGGCUAACUACGUG